rnacentral:pre_miRNA from 1 species
UCUUAUGGAUUAGCAAAGAAAGUGACUUCUUGGGAUGGAAACUACUCUUGAUGAAGAUGCUGCGAA